GACGAACGCUGGCGGCGUGCCUAAUACAUGCAAGUAGAACGCUGAAGGAGGAGCUUGCUCUUCUGGAUGAGUUGCGAACGGGUGAGUAACGCGUAGGUAACCUGCCUGGUAGCGGGGGAUAACUAUUGGAAACGAUAGCUAAUACCGCAUAACAGUAGAUGUUGCAUGACAUUUACUUAAAAGGUGCAAUUGCAUCACUACCAGAUGGACCUGCGUUGUAUUAGCUAGUUGGUGGGGUAAAGGCUCACCAAGGCGACGAUACAUAGCCGACCUGAGAGGGGGAUCGGCCACAAUGGGAAUGAGACAAGGCCCAGAAUCCUACGGGAGGCAGCAGUAGGGAAUCUUCGGCAAUGGACGGAAGUCUGACCGAGCAACGCCGCGUGAGUGAAGAAGGUUUUCGGAUCGUAAAGCUCUGUUGUAAGAGAAGAAAGAGUGUGAGAGUGGAAAGUUCACACUGUGACGGUAUCUUACCAGAAAGGGACGGCUAACUACGUG
rnacentral:rRNA from 1 species